AUCCUGGGUGGAUGAAUGGGGUUAGUGGCCCAGAACAUGUCAUCUUCAAGUGACCUGCUUCGCCACACUCACGUAACUUCUCAGGAACACCUCCCUUGCAACAUGGGCAGUGUAGCUCCAGUUGUGAAGGAGAAAGGAUAUCGAAAAAGGAACAGCCACAGCUGUAUGCAGAACAAUGAAUGCGCACUUCUUUGAGCUCAGUCUCUGUGAACUGCACACGUUGGUUGUUCAGCCCGUUCUUCCUGAUCUGACAAUGGUCUUGAGGAGGAGACUUAACAGUCUGGAGAUCUGGUGUAAGAUGGUCGGCUGUGUUUGCAUCCAAACCACUGAACUCAGCGGAAUGUUGGAGCACAGCACUAUUGGAGGCACACUGAAUAAAGCUUUCAACUACUGACAGCAUCUGAAGAACAUCAGGAAAAUGCUGAAAGCCUAGGUUUUCAAAUUUCAGAAAUCUGUGGCCUAUGUGGCUCCAUAGGCAGCUCUGGGCACUACUCAGAGAUCCAGUAAUAUUCAAAGAUUCCAGUGAUAUUCCAGCAUGAAGCCGUGCCUUGGUGUCUUCAGCUGGCGCUAGAACUGGUGAGUAAUAGAGCCUGACUAUGGAAGUGGAUGGUCCUGAAUGAUCUGCUAGCAGUAAUGAUUUAUCCGUACAACUCUUGUCCAACUUAAACAUGGGCUUCCCCUGAGACCCACAAUGACAAAUAUUUAAAGAUAUGUGAGAACAACAAACUGUUAAAAUAAUUCCUCCUAAGUCUUAUAGCCGCCAAUAUUAUGCAAGCGUACGGUAUGAAUCAUGUUAGCCUUCCCUGGAAAAGUCUGAGUUUCUUGCAGUCUUUCACUAGGAUCCUGCAUUGUAAUGGCUCAUUCAUUAUUUAUAUUCUUUCUUUCACUAAUGGGUUAGCAGCAGAUAUGAGAGGAGUUAGAAAAAAAACCAGAAAUCAGUGAAGUGGAGAUAUUUCUUAUUAUCAAUCCAUAUCAAAGGACACGUAGCAGGCAAAACUGGAGCCCUGAGUCUGUAGUAGGAGUGAAAUACUUGCAGUCUCAUCAUGUUCAUAACCAGAAAAGCUAUAUGGAAUCUAUUCUCCUCCAAGCCAGUGUGUUCACAUGUCAUCUGUGUGAAACAAAGAUCCCAUUUCUGAUAAAGCAACUUUUCAGAGGAAUAGUGUAAGGCUAUUUGAAUAGGGAAGCUGUAAUUCAAACUAGUAUCACUCUGUACAUCUCAGAGCUUUUUCAGCAAAUUUUUACAGCUACAUAAAACUCUCAAGGCAGGAAUUUAGUAGAAAGAUGCAUUUUAUGAAGCAAGCAUUUGUUUAUUACCAAGUGAUGCAGUGAGUCAUUUGGCGACCCAGUGGUUUCCUUAUUGCAUGGCUGUACUGUGAAAUUCCACAUGAAAAGUAGGAACAGUCUCCACGUGUUGCAUCACAGAAAUGCUGUCUUUAGUAUGAAAUGAUUUUGUUGAUGCUCUUAGUUGUUCUCUGUUUGUCUACAGUGUUACUCAGUGAGAUGAAAUAGCAGACAUAGCAUAUGGCAUCACCUAUAUCUCAGUAUACAAAAAUGGUGGUUGCAGUGAUGCUGAGAUGGAAACUUGGUCUCAGAAUACACAGUUUGCAUUCAAACCACUAUACGUAUUUCUGAAGUUAUCCAGAAUAUUGCCACUCUACUGUAAGCAGUAAAGCACAAAGGGGAAAGAAGAUUUUAAAGGACAAGCUUGUAAAUCCAUUUGCAAUGUCAAUACAAUUUCAGACACAUUUUCCCCAGCCUCAAAGAUAUUGUUGCCAAAGAUUUGCGACAGAUUAAAAGCACCAGGAAAACAUAAACAUCUCAGCUCUGACACUGUGUCAACAAGCAAUUUCCAUAGUGUUUUGCAAAGAUCAGAAAUUAUUCAGUGAUAAAAUACAUUAUCCUAAACAACAGGGAAAACACUCAAAUCAAGGACACAUUCUUUUCCGCCUUAUAUCUUAUUUACUCUUUCUUUAGGCCCCAGUUAAAUGUAUCACUGAAGCACUUCAGAAUACUUCCUAAUUUACAAUAGUAAUGCUUGAAGGAUUUAAGCUAAACAUGCUGUGAACAGAUUUGCCAGAGUUAGGCUUUACAGAUUUGAGAGAUGAGCUCAACGGCCAGGACAAGCUGCUGUUGAUACAGGUUUGUGGCAAAGAAUGCUGGUAGUUUGAGCUGUAUUUUUGCUUCUUCUUUUCAACAGCCUAGCAAGUAAUAUAAUAGCUGGAGGAAAAAAAAAUGGUGUAAUGCAGCAUGGCAACAAAUCUCUCUUCACUAAUACGUUCCGAAGAAUGGCUGCUGAAGCUGGGGAUGACCAAGGGAGCACCGAGUGCCUGGGAGAAUCUCUGCAGAGUAGUUGCAUUGCUGUGAACUCCACCAUGCUGCUGGAAUAGAAAGGAAGAGCCAGAUCAGAAGCAGUCACACAGGAGAAGGUUUCUGAAAGCCCAGUGGGCUUUAUGUCAUGAGAAGGUCACGAGCAGUGAGCUGUCAAACUGUGCAUUGAGGCCUUACUUCUGCUGUAAAGUUAUGGCUGUAUUACUGUACCAGGUAGUGGAAAAUCAGGCUCAACAGUUAUUCUUCAUUAAAUGUAAAAUGUUUGCAUUUUAGCCAAUUAAAAUAUCUCAGUGUGUUCAAAUAAUCUGUAAAUCCGUGAUUCUGGAACCUGCCCAGAACUAAUUUAAAAAGCCAGUACCUGUAACAAAGACGUCACAAGUCAAAGAAUAUUAAAAGUGCCUUACUGUUCUAUAAAAUGAACACAGUUGGGUGAGAUUGCUCAGUCAGCAGGGUUGGUCAUGCUUGAGCAGGCUUAGCUCACUUUAAGUGCACCCUCUUACCUUAGGGUUGGGUCUUCUACCUGUGCUUCUCUGGUUCUCCACUGUAUUCCUAGUGCUGGGCAGGCACUUUGUAAAUAAAUAUUUUCCAAUUUGAAAAUGCCAUUUCAACAGUGGGAACUGGUAUCAAGUUGUGUGUUUCAAAUUGGAAGCAUUCAUUCUUAGUAAAAGAGAAUUUGUUCAAAGCUCAUUGCAAAGCUUUUGGAAUUGAAUGCUUCUUAUUUACAAUGCCUCUUUCAGAAAAGCUCUUUUAAAAAAUAAAAGCAUUUUAAUAAAAUGGUAUAUUUCUAUUGACAGGGCAUUAGGGGAAUGUUUUAUUACAUGGGAAUUUACAAAUUCUCUGGUCUUUUUUCCUCUUCAAACUUGGACAUAUUUCAAAAUGUCAGAAUUUCCUGUGGAACAGAAUUUUCAGUUCUGACAUACCCUUGUCUGUUGAGCCCUUAGAAUGAAGAACAGUCAUUAACAUUGGUAAUCAGCCAACAAACCCAAACUUGCAGGAGAGACAAAAAAGGUUAAGAGAGAGAGAGAGAGAGUAGAAAUACCUUAUGCAGACUUUUGUACUCAGCAUGUCCUCAGUAACUCAAGCAUACACACAAUUGCCUCUCUAACUGAACUUAGGUAUGGGAGCUUUCUAGCCCUAAACCUCUGACAUUGUUGUAUAAAGGAGGCAUCAGUGGUAUGGUACAACCCAUUCUUCAAAUCAUUUUUUUCAGCAAGCUGAAAAAUAAGGAAUAAGAUGAUAGGCUUUGUUUAAAUCUGUAGCAAAAAUAAUCACUCAUAAAGUCAUGGAAUGUGGAUGCAAGCAUUUGGGGCCUUUUAAAGCUGCCUUGCUUUGCUCAGCUGUACUACUUCAACUACUCAUUGUUGGCGUACUUGAAUCUUCAUCUACAAACUUGGAAAUCUCAAUUCCCCAUCUGAGUUAAAAGUCUAUAAUUUAUGUCCACAAAGUCUUCUGUUUUUUUUUUCAAGGAAAUUUAUCAAGUGGUUUCUCUGUCUCAAAUCCCCUUUCUGAAGAUUAAAAGAGGGAAUAUCUAAAGAAGAUAUAAUAUCCGGUGGCAUUCAGCUACUCAGUAAGAUUAAUUCUGCCUAAGAAGACGAUGGAUAAUUCACACUAUCGGACCAAUUUUCUUUUAAUUCCUAGAAAUGCUUCCAUCAGAUCAUAUACACCAAUGUAGACAAAGAGAGAGAGAUGUGGAGAGAUUUGUAGACAUCAGUAAAUACAGCCAGUUAACUUUUGAUGAACUGAGGACCAGAGAAAGAAUACUAAUGAUUUGGAAGGAGGUUCUGUGGUACUAUUGCUUUUAAAAGAAAUAAUUUAAAAAAGGAACCAAAAAAUGUUCAGGGCUUUGUUUAUUACAAGAAUGUAUAAAUCUGGGUGCACAAAGAACAAAUAUGCUAUCUACAUAAAACACUUCAGUUUCCUGGCUCCUCCUACUUGGAUUUACUGGAUUAUAGCCAAGGAGUCGUAACUGCCAGAUUUUUCUCUAACAGAAAACCCAUCUGAGCGGAAUUUAGUAUUGGCAGAGGAUGUUUGGAGACAUGUGUGAAAAAUUAGGAACCCUUUAAGGGAAGAAGUCACCCAAUUAAAAACGUGCAGAAAAUAAUCCAUCAUACAUUCCCAUCAAAUCCCUUUUGCUUUCAAGUACCAAAAUAAUGACUGGAUGAGACCCGAGUUGAGUCUAGAGCUGGCUGAACUGCUUAUUGUGGAUUGAACAUUGUUUUUGAAGGGAGAAAAUUCUGAAAUGAGCUUUUUAAUGUUUUUAGUCUUGAUUUUAAGUUCUUUCCCUGUGGAAUAUUUUUGCAUUAAUAAUAUUCAGUCUUUUGGCUGUUUGAAUGAGCUUUCUUCAAGCGUUUUAGUGUAUUUGUACGUGCCAUGUGUUUGUACUUUCAAGUAGUGUUUUUCCUGUCUGGAUGACUCUUAAAUUUUAAAUAGGAUCACAAAUCAAUGAAUGAAAACAUCAAACUGUCACAUAUUCAGUUUCAAGAGGAUAAUCACUUUCUUAAAACGUAUGAAACAUUUGUAAUCACAGGCAUUUGGACGAAGCGCUCAGUGAUUUUCUAAAAAGCAGCACAAUAAUAAUACUAAUUAACAGAUCACAUUCUGCAGCUUAUGAGCAACCAUAUUUGCUACUUAAGAGGCUUUUAGUUUUGCUUUGUAAAUACUGACUCAACUCUACCAUAAUGCGUGUGGUACAGGACCAGUAGAAUGUAAAACAGGGAGUUAGUUUUUCUGUUGUGCUGAGAAAACCAAAAAGCUGCAAAGGAAAGAAAGCUCAGUGUUCUUCUUUUUUUUUUUUUUUUCUUCACCCCAAAAUAGAGCUAAGUGUUGGAUUUCACAAUUUUGUAAUUAUUAAUCAAAACACAUUCUUCUUCAAAGUAAUAGCCCCAUUUUUAUAGAAAAAGUCAAAAUAAUUUCCUUAUUUCCAUAGUUAAAUAUUUACUUUCCAACAUUAUGAAACCUUUGAGUGGCAUUCAUUUCAUCAGCUAUAAGAAUCACAGUUUCAAAUGCAUACCCUUGAACAAAAUAAAUUGACCUCCAGACAUGCCUGUUUCUCCACAUUGGCUAAAACUUUGGGGUUAGACAAAAUGCUUAACUUAGUCUUGGCUACAGAUAAGUAUUUUCCCAAAAGAAACUCUCCCCAAGCCUGUCUUUUUUGGAGUAGGUUUGAAAUUGCUUUACAUAUUGAACUCUUAAGUAUGUGAUUGCUUGUCAGCUCAAACUUGAGUUACUCCGCAUAUUUGGUUCGGCUUCACAUCUGAAGAAUGCCCCAGAGAGAGAAAUGAUCAUAUAGCCUUUACUUCUCUACCGAAUUUAAGUUCCAUUAUUUUUUCCCAUUUUAUCUCUUUUAUCAUAGCUGCAGGGUAUGUUACAGAGUUAUCCUUUACUCUGCUAAUCAAGAAGAAUGUGUCUAUUAUUCUCUACAUUUAUUUCAUAGAAGAGAUCACUGUUCCUGGGCAUAUGCAAGCAAACUCUUCACAUCACCAGACAUCAUUGGAAGUCUGAACAGCACACUGAAUUUCCAGCUUUGUGGCUUCUAUGAUUGAUUAAAAAGACACUCACAACCUGUGAAGAUUAAAUAACUUUAAAAUGAAUAUGAAAUACAUUUUGUAUCCUUAUAUUGAUGAAACUACUUCUGGAAAUAAAGAGAUUUAAUUUAGUACUUUUUGUUUCUUGUGCAAAUUGUGGUAUCCCUAUCAAUGUAUGUCUUAUUAGACAACUAGUUACAACAUUUUUUCAUAGAAUCAAUGCAAAAUUCAAGGAAUAUCAUAAGAAAGGGAAGUCUAGUCUUCUGCUCAAAACAGGACUAGCUUCAAUAUUAGGUCAGGUUGCUCUGGGUUUUGUCUAGUUGAGUUAUGAGUACUUGCCAGAAUGGUCUCCACAAGUCCUUUGGACAACUUGUUUUGAUGUUUGGCCACCUUCAUUGUGAGGAUUUUUUCCUAGUCAGAAUUUCCUUUUUGUGAUUCAUCUCUGUUGCCUCUUUUGCUAUUGACUUCCCAGAAAGUGUCUUCAUUUUCCUUGUAACUAUCCAGCAGGUAGUCACGACAGCAGUUAGAUGCCCCUUUUAGCCUUCUCUUCUGCAGACCAAGUUCUCUCAGCCUCUGUAAAUCAUGCACACCAGACCUGGCCAUUUUAGUGAUGCUCUGCUAAUGUAUAAUUUUCCCAUUUUCUGCAUUUUCUUAGGAUUUCUACCUUAAAAAAUCCCAAGCCCUUGAAGUUAAAGCAAAUCUUUAUUUGUAUAAUUGCUGAUAAAUUUGCUGUAACUUGAUCAUCCCAAAAGAGAACUGCUUGAAAAGUAUAACCAGCCUUUCUAGUCAUCUGGUCUGUAGAAGGGUGGAUUACUCUGUCAAGGCAGCCAAAUUUAACAGGGAAAAGAACCAGAUUUAGCAACCAUAUCAAAAGCAGACAUUGUCUCAAGAGACAUAAGACCCAUACUCCAUCCAGAUACGAGCCAAGGCGAGUAGCACAAACAAGUUCCUAACUCCCUAUUUAAAGGGGGAUGGAAAGUGUAUUUCUUAUCUAAAACUGUUUAAACUCCAAAAUUAGUAAUGAUUAUGCAUAGAGUUAAAAAUUACACAUACAUUUAUGGAGCCGUGCUGUAGAAGAGCAAUGACAGCGUGAUCAGAACUAAUGCACUGAGACCCUUCUCAGCAUAAAAUAUUAAGAGUUAACAUAAAGUACAGAAACACAGAAUCACAGGAUAGCUUGUGUUGGAAGGGACCUUAUAGGUCAUUUGGUUCCAACUCCUGCCAUGGGCAGGGCUGCCACCCACCAGAUCAGGUUGCACAGUGCCCCAUCCAGCUUGACCUUGAAUGUCUCCAGGGACGGAGCAUGACAAAGGGGCACGAAAAUUAUCACACGUGUUAGUAGAGGGCCUCUAAGAUGAUCAAGAAUCUGGACAGCAUGACUGGAAUUGAAAUGGCAGUUCUUCCUUGACUUUAGUAACACCACUGUAGACUGGCAGAUUGCUCCUCCAUUAACUUCACAUUCAUAGAACAUCCUCUGAGCCUAGACCUGCUUUCACGUUCAUGGGAUCUGUUUUAAAUACCAUAGGGGAAACUGGACCUGUACUCCUAGCCCCUGCGCGUGGAAGCCCCAGAGUUAGCAUCAAAUGCAGAAUGAAGCCAGUUAGGAACUGAAGUGAAGAGUCAGCUGGGAAGGGACACGUGUGCCAUCCUGAAAGCAGGCUGAGCGCCUGCUGCUGCCGCUGGCCCCUCUGCAAGUAGGUCAGCGGCCUAUUUGUGGUGUCCGUGCGGCUGCAGGCUGCCAGCAGGGAGUGAGUCAGCUGGGCCACAGGAACCCUGCACAAGGCCGCGGCCGUGGGGAGCCUCUGCUGUUUCCCUUCCCAAAGCACUUCGCCCCCUCCCUGCAGUGCGGAGAAAUUGAAUCCCACUUUCAGGAGAGUCAAAGGAUACGUGCUCGUUCUUGCGGGACAGCUGGGGGCUGGCAGUCUCGGCUGUCUGAUGGCUGCUGUUUUGCUUCUGGGAGUGAGAGCUGAAAGACUUCCCCUGACCCCAAAAGCUCCAGCCAUAGUCUGAGUCUGAGAUGGUGCCAAUGCCCUUCCUGUAGCAAGGCUGAUAUAUUUUUAUCUCAUCUUUGUAAGCAACACCACCAACUGCAACACCAUCUGCAGGGGCGAAGAGAACUUCUGCCAGGUAUGGGGUUGUUUUUAUAGGUAGCAGGAUUUGACUUGCUUGUUGAAGGAACUUGGGCCCAUUUGUCGUGUCAUGGUGAUGUGGUUUAACCAGACACGUGGACCUCCUGUCCAUUGGGUGACCACUGGGAAAGUAUCCCUUCAUUCCUUUCAGACCAAGCACAACUGCUGGAGUGAUGGACACAAGGAGAAAAUCAGCAGCCUCUUAACCAACCUGGCUUCUGAAUCGCUAAUUCUGUCUGCUGUGCCUCAGCUGUGUAAUUCUCUCCUGCACAGCAAAACAGAAUUUGUGAUCUCUACAUGUUUUUCCACGACUUCUGGACCUAUGCCUAGAAGACAAAACCAGUGCAUAAUAUAAAUGAUUAAGAUAGACAGUAUUAUAAAUUAAUAUAUUAUAGCAAUUAAAAUAAUAUUUAUUACUAUAUAUUAGAAAUUAAUAUAGAGGCAAAUGUAUGCAGCUAGCUAGGCUGCUAGUGUCCAGAAAUUCCUCCAAUGUGCACUGUGCAAAGGCAGACCUUUUCUCUUGCUUUGGUGCAUGUUCAGUAAGCUUAGUUAUGAUAUCUAUGUUUCAAGGUAUGUAUCGUGCUAUUAAAGUGCACAUGUGCAAAAUGUCCAUUAUAUCCCAAAUAUUUCAGAUUUACGUGACCCACAGAGACAAAGCAGCUGUGUCCCCAGUGACUAUUUAUUUGUAAAAGAGCCUCAAGAUUUUUCCCACGUGAUUCUGCUCGUUGCUUGCUGUUGAGCUAGUAACAUUUCCCAUCUUUCCUUCCCUCCAUAGUCCUGACACUUUGCCUGUUUUGUUUUAAAAAGGAGUUACUGUAGAAGUUUCCAAAGGAUAAUUAUCUGGGGAAAUACUUGUGUUCUCUGGAAGUCAGCAUCAUGAAAUACCUGCGGAUUUUCUUCAAAGAGGAGGAAAGUUUAAAUACAGGAACACUGGCACAUUAGCUCAUUUCUAUUUUUUAUCUGCCUAUUUUAGAUUUGUAGCUACAGGCAAACCCUAACGUAGGGUAAACUUUGGCUUAAGG
rnacentral:lncRNA from 1 species